rnacentral:rRNA from 1 species
UACGAAGGGGGCUAGCGUUGCUCGGAAUUACUGGGCGUAAAGGGCGCGUAGGCGGACAGUUAAGUUGGGGGUGAAAGCCCGGGGCUCAACCUCGGAAUUGCCUUCAAUACUGGCUGUCUUGAGUGUGAGAGAGGUGUGUGGAACUCCGAGUGUAGAGGUGAAAUUCGUAGAUAUUCGGGAGAACACCAGUGGCGAAGGCGGCACACUGGCUCACUACUGACGCUGAGGCGCGAAAGCGUGGGGAGCAAACAGG